UGCUGAAUUAGACCUAGUGGGCAU
rnacentral:miRNA from 2 species